AUGGCAAGCCAAGGUCCCUUAGGGCAGCCCAUAUAGGCGAUAGGCUGCAUACGCUACCAAGGAGGCUGCUGUUUGCAACCAUUGCACACCAGGCUCCCAUGGGGAAAGGGACCUGAUCGGCUUAAUUAGCUGCAA
rnacentral:snoRNA from 1 species